rnacentral:rRNA from 1 species
CUACGGGCUGCUCCAGUGAGGAAUAUUGGGCAAUGGGCGCAAGCCUGACCCAGCCAUGCCGCGUGAAGGAUGAAUGCCCUACGGGUUGUAAACUUCUUUUGUACGGGACGAAACUUCCGAUCGUGAUCGGAACUGACUGUACCGUUCGAAUAAGCAUCGGCUAACUCCGUGCCAGCAGCCGCGGUAAUACGGAGGAUGCGAGCGUUAUCCGGAUUUAUUGGGUUUAAAGGGUGCGUAGGCGGGUCUUUAAGUCAGUGGUGAAAGUCUGCGGCUCAACCGUAGAAUUGCCGUUGAAACUGGGGGUCUUGAGUGCAAACGAGGCAGGCGGAAUGUGCCGUGUAGCGGUGAAAUGCUUAGAUAUGGCACAGAACUCCGAUUGCGAAGGCAGCUUGCCAGCAUGCGACUGACGCUGAGGCACGAAAGCGUGGGUAUCAAACAGGAUUAGAUACCCCAGUAGUC